rnacentral:rRNA from 1 species
CCAGCAGCCGCGGUAAUACGGAGGAUGCGAGCGUUAUCCGGAUUCAUUGGGUUUAAAGGGUGCGCAGGCGGGCUAAUAAGUCAGGGGUGAAAUUCCACGGCUCAACUGUGGGGCUGCCUUUGAUACUGUUAGUCUUGAGUUUAGUUGAGGUGGGCGGAAUGUAGCAUGUAGCGGUGAAAUGCAUAGAUAUGCUACAGAACACCGAUAGCGAAGGCAGCUCACCAAGUUAUAACUGACGCUCAUGCACGAAAGCGUGGGGAUCAAACAGGAUUAGAUACCCUGGUAGUCCACGCUGUAAACGAUGAUCACUCGUUGUUGGCGAUACACAGUCAGCGGCUAAGCGAAAGUGAUAAGUGAUCCACCUGGGGAGUACGAUCGCAAGGUUGAAACUCAAAGGAAUUGACGGGGGCCCGCACAAGCGGUGGAGCAUGUGGUUUAAUUCGAUGAUACGCGAGGAACCUUACCUGGGCUUGAACGCUUGGUGCUAUUGGGAGAAAUCUCAAGUCCCUUCGGGGCGUUGAGCGAGGUGCUGCAUGGUUGUCGUCAGCUCGUGCCGUGAGGUGUCGGGUUAAGUCCCAUAACGAGCGCAACCCUUAUCAUUAGUUGCCAUCAGGUAAAGCUGGGGACUCUAGUGAAACUGCCUACGCAAGUAGAGAGGAAGGUGGGGAUGACGUCAAAUCAGCACGGCCCUUACGUCCAGGGCUACACACGUGCUACAAUGGCCGGUACAGAGGGCAGCCACCUGGUGACAGGGAGCGAAUCUCGAAAGC